rnacentral:sRNA from 1 species
CCUUGCUCCAUAUUUAAUUUUAAUUCUAAAGUCAUCUAAUUUCAUGGAAUCUUUGAAUUUGCAGUACGUUGAACUUUUAAAAAACUGUAAGUUAUUAAUUCUUCAUCAAGAGCACUGUGGUGGAAUAUCGUAGUUGAUUUCUUUUUCUUUCUUUUUUUUUAAUGCUUUCUUUGUGUGGGGGAGGUGUGAGAUUCACCAUGAUAGGCACUUUGCAGAAAAAAAAAGUGAUUACUCUUAUAUAUUUUGUUUUCUUGUUAAUACAAUGCCACUGAAUUUUUUAGCUAGGAUGUGUAUAUUCAUAUUAGAGUUACAAAUAAAGUAAAAUGUGAAUCCUCCCAAUUAAAGAAGAACUAUGAAAAAUAUAAGGCAAUGUUGUUCUUCCACAGUGACCUCCAGUAUUUUAAAUUUUUUGUGGAGAAAAAAAUGUUUUGCUUUCUUAAACCUCUUAACUAUAGCUUAAGUAGAGAGAUAUGAACAAUGUGGCAUUGACAUUUAUUUUUAAAUUCUGAGCAGAGAAAGAUUUUUAUUUCUUACAUUGAGUACAUUUAAUUUAGUUUUUAACAUUACAAUUCCAUUACAUGUUUUUUUUUAUUGUUGAUAUUCAUAUUGAUAAUGACAUCAUGAAAUUUAUCCUCACAAGAAGUAGCUGGUUUAUUUCCAGGUUACAGCCAUACUUCCCAAAGUUCCUCUGGGUUCUGAGAACUAUGCCAGCUCACCUGUCAUCUCCAUUCAUUUUCUACAGGACAGUCUCAUCGAACUCAAGGAAUCUUCAGCAAAGCUCUACAUUAAUCAUACUCCUCCACCACUGUCCAAGAGUAAGGAGAGAGAAAUGGACAAGAAAGAUUUGGACAAGUCAAGGGAAAGAUCCAGAGAAAGAGAGAAAAAAGAUGAAAAGGACAGGAAAGAGCGGAAAAGGGAUCACUCAAACAACGACCGUGAAGUGCCACCGGACUUAACCAAGAGACGUAAAGAGGAGAAUGGAACAAUGGGGGUUUCAAAACAUAAAAGUGAAA